GACGUAGGGGGCCAGCGUUGCUCGGAAUUACUGGGUGUAAAGGGUUCGUAGGCGGUGUGGCAAGUCGGGAGUGAAAUCUCUGGGCUCAACCCAGAGUCUGCUUCCGAAACUGCUGUGCUUGAGUGUGGGAGAGGCGCGUGGAAUUGCAGGUGUAGCGGUGAAAUGCGUAGAUAUCUGCAGGAACACCCGUGGCGAAAGCGGCGCGCUGGACCACUACUGACGCUGAGGAACGAAAGCUGGGGGAGCAAACAGG
rnacentral:rRNA from 1 species